UUUCCGUAGGUGAACCUGCGGAAGGAUCAUUAUUGAAUGAAACACUUCUGGCUUUAUGCUGUUGUGCUGGCCCUUUGGGCAAUGUGCACACGGCUCUGGUCGCUUGUUUCUUCUGUUCCACCUGUGCACUGCCUGUAGACACGCUGUGUCUAUGAUAUUUGUUAACACACAACAAUGUUAGUUGGCAUGUUAUAUAUAAUAAUAAGAUAUACAACUUUCAACAACGGAUCUCUUGGCUCUC
rnacentral:misc_RNA from 1 species